GAUGAAGAACGUAGCGAAAUGCGAUAAGUAAUGUGAAUUGCAGAAUUCAGUGAAUCAUCGAAUCUUUGAACGCACAUUGCGCCCGCCAGUAUUCUGGCGGGCAUGCCUGUCCGAGCGUCAUUUCAACCAUCAAGCCCCCGGGCUUGUGUUGGGGACCUGCGGCUGCCCGCAGGCCCUGAAAACCAGUGGCGGGCUCGCUGUCACACCGAGCGUAGUAGCAAUCACCUCGCUCAGGGCGUGCUGCGGGUUCCGGCCGUUAAACAGCCUUACAAAACCCAAGGUUGACCUCGGAUCAGGUAGGAAGACCCGCUGAACUUAAGCAUAUCAAAAGCGGAGGA
rnacentral:misc_RNA from 1 species